CAGCCGCCACGGGAAUACGAAGGGGGCUAGCGUUGCUCGGAAUCACUGGGCGUAAAGGGUGCGUAGGCGGGUCUUUAAGUCAGGGGUGAAAUCCUGGAGCUCAACUCCAGAACUGCCUUUGAUACUGAAGAUCUUGAGUUCGGGAGAGGUGAGUGGAACUGCGAGUGUAAAGGUGAAAUUCGUAGAUAUUCGCAAGAACACCAGUGGCGAAGGCGGCUCACUGGCCCGAUACUGACGCUGAGGCACGAAAGCGUGGGGAGCAAACAGGAUUAGAUACCCCCGUAGUCCCUGUCUCUUAUAC
rnacentral:rRNA from 1 species